rnacentral:misc_RNA from 1 species
UGUUGUGUGUUAAAAAGUUCUCGUUCAUUGUGUUAUGUUUUCUUUUUAUAGUUUACAAUAAUUAAUAAUCUCGAUAUAUUCUGUUUAUCAUGAUCGGUAGUAAAGAAGGAGGCAGAUGUAUUGAAUUUGGAAUUUUCGUUUUAUGACAGCCUGUGUCCAGUGAAACGAACACCCCUUUAUCUGUACGUCUGGGAUCACGGAUGCAGCAGCUCUCCACAAGGCUGAUUCAAAGUCAAUCACCAGACGUUGUACCCUCGGAUGAACUGGAUGAUCGCAAACAAGGCAUCCGUUAGCAGCCAUAUUUUUUAGCGGAUGACACUGGUGAACGAUGCUGCAUGCUCAUUGUGAGGGCUGUGUUUCCAGACACUGCAAUGUGAGGGGAAAUGGAGUGGACAGCUGUCCUGUUGUUCCUUGUGAACAAGGCUGUUCCGCUAGGUACCACCAGUGCCUCCAGAGUGAACACACACUGCUGUGUCCUGAAGAGCGGGUGAGCUGCAUCAACGCUGUCAAUGGCUGCCCUCUUAUUAUGGUGCGUCGCAAGCUGGCGAGUCAUCUGGAGGUGUGUCCAGCCAGCGUCCUGUGCUGCCCAACUGAGUGGAACCGCUGGCCCAUGCACUCCAAGGAGGAUGGCAAGAAAAUGCCAGUCCCAUCCUGUAGUCGAUACAUCAUGUGCGGCCAGCUGGAUGUCGCCUUGGCGAUGAGGGAUCAACGCAUGCUCAUCCAGACUCUGAAUGCUCCCAAGAAGACGAAGCGAAUAAUGAGGAAUUCCCUGACAACGCGUUACCCUGCCGCGCCCUUCAGUCACCGAGGUGCUUCGAUGGAGUCUGAUGUAUUGACGUCGGAGGAGAAUUCGAGGAAUGUUUCCGACGACGACUGCGAUGUGCCUUGGAAUCUGGGUCAGUACCCGCCGGGACUACAGAGGAGUGUUUGCAGUCGACUGAUCCGAGCGACGAAGCAGGCGACGGAGAGUUUGACGGUGACUCUGGACUUAGUUUCCAACCACUUGUCUGGUCAGGCUCCCUCGUGCAGCAAUUCAUCGCUGGAAGAGUUGUGUAAAGGGCCCGAUGGUGUUGAUGGUGUGGAUGAUAUGCAGGAGUCCGCAGGGUGUGCAGAUGGCAGUCUUCCCAUUGCUUGUGGGUUAUGUAAACCCCAGUCAAAGCACGUGCACUCUGUGCAGUGUAUGACCGGUUUCCAUAAUGGCAGUCUUCCACAAGCAGAGGUAGCAGAGCCAGAGGAACCGCAGGAGCUUGUUGACAAUCUGGAUUGCCUGGACAGUAAACCGAUUAACGAGGACACCAAGCUCCACGAACUGCUGGGUGUUGACAUCAACAUUGACUGUAUAACACGGUACCAGCCGAAACCGGCCGAGAUGUACACGUUUCUAUGUGCGCAGGAGUUCCGGCGAGACGAGUUCGCCUGGCACUACAAGAACGUGCACGUCGACCUACAGAGCUGCUUCAACGGCUGGAUGGAGCAGCGCUGUCCCCUCGCCCACCGUGGCUGCACCUUCUCCUUCCGCCGAUUCCAGCCGCGCUCCAACGGUGCUCACAUCACUCACAGCUACCUGAGCGAAAGCUUCGGCUUGGUUUUGAAUGAUCUCCCGCAGGUGAAAUGUUUGACAAAUAAAUCCGCGGAGCCCAAUGCUUGCUGUGAUACCCACAGAACAGACGAUACUGUGAUACCUCAGUCGGGCUUAUCGCCGAACGAUAUACGACACGCCCGCAGUGUAGAUGUAACAAAUUCAAACGUAAGCAGCUUAGUCUGUGACACUAUGGAAACCAGCUGUCUUUCAGAUGUCGCGUCCACGCCCUUGUCUUUCAAUGCCAGCGAUUAUGAUUACCACCACAAUGAUGAUGACGAUGUUGAUCUUGACAACGAUGGUGCUAAGGAUGUAGAAAUUGAUGUCUCCGGUUCAAGCGUUGUCUCACAACAGUCUCACACUUCGCUUGUUGCAGAGGAUAAUAAUAAUGUCAUUGUGUUUACGUCUCAGCGAGCCUACUCGCCAAUUCUUUUAUGUACAGUGCAAGAUUCUGCCUUGACAGAUGUUAAUUCAGAUCUCUUUAUGAAGCUUCCGUUUGAAGUGUUGCGUCACGUGGCCCGCCACCUCGACUCGUUCAGUCUGCGCAAUCUGGCUCUGACCAGUCGCCUGCUGCGUGACGUCUGCUGCAGCCUGCUCAACGAGCGCGGUAUCGUCACCACCACGUGGAGGAAGACCGUCAUCGGCCUGAAAGUCUCAUGGCAGCCGGCCGGCAGGGUGUGGCAGUUCAGCACGUCAUUCUCUCCGGUUGAACAGUGGCACUUCAGUGGAGACAACCCAGUGAGUGAACACCUCAAGGUGUGUCCGUUCAACCAGGAGCUGAACGUUCACGCGGAACCGUUCCAGGUGGGCCCGCCGUUCAUUGCAGAGAGCGACAACAAGCUGAAGGACCUCCUGGCCCAGAGACAGCGCGACUCCGUCAGCAUGAGGCUGCGCGAACUCGGCAACCUGCAGGCCUGUCACAUGAUGAACAACUGUUAAUCCAGCCUCGUUACGUUACCAUGGAAACAGUCGUAUUUAUUAGUGAUAACUAGAGUGGUUCAGAUGUGAGAGGCUUCAAAUACUCUCGGAUAAACCCAGUUUUCAACGAGCUGUUGAUCGUGUGGAAAAUGACUUCACAUGGAACAACAUUCACUUCAAACUGAUUCUGAGCAGAUUGAAACUGAAUCGUUGACACAAAGUUCAACUGGUCCUCCCUGAAUCGUGAAUCAUGGUUUUAAACUUCAACAAGAAAUAGGGCUUAUGAAUAACUACAUGUAGUAGUCCAUCACUUUAUGACUAGUGGGCAUUGUGCAAGCCUGACAUAUGAAAGACAACUGUUAGUACAGACAACUGUUAAUACAGACAACUGUUAGUACAGACAACUGUUAAUACAGACUCGUGUUAGGAGGAUGAGCACUCACAGGUGCUCACUGGACUGGUUUUUGCACUUAAUAUGAAAUUAACCAGUCAAAUUCUUAUUGAGCGCUCGCCCUCAUUAGUAGGCUACAACUGAGUAAUCUUACCAUGGCAACUCGUGUUUAUAUAAUACAUAGUAACCCAUACCUCAUGGCUGGUGAACAAUAUAACCUGCAACAGUUUCAUGUUACCAGGUUGACUCAAAUUUAUUACUGAUAAUUGGUGAUACAUAUAUAUAGUAAUCCAUAACGUGACCAAUUUGCAAAGAAACUUGGAAAACCAGUCAUUAGAUUUAGCACCUCAAUGACUGGCUUUGAUAUGAUACCUCUCUAGUAAUCAGAGGGGAUUGGGGGUGGGGGUUGGGGGGGGGGGGGGGGGGGGGAACAUAUCCCAGUGGUAAAGAGCUAGCUUGAUGUGCAGCCAAUCUGGGGUCGAUCACUGUCGGUGGUGCCAUUGGGCUAUUUCUUGUUCCAUCCAGUGCACUACAACUGGUAUAUCAAAGACCAUGGUAUGUGCUAUCCUGUCUGGGAUUGUGCAUAUAAAAUAUCCUUUGCUACUAAUGGAAAUUUGUAUCAG